rnacentral:misc_RNA from 1 species
CGCACCUUGCGCUCCUUGGUAUUCCGAGGAGCAUGCUUGUUUGAGUGUCAUGGUAUUCUCAACCCUCUGUUGUUUUUUUAAAACAGCAGCUGGGCUUGGACUUGGAGGUUUGCAGGCAUCGGUAUUUUUUGAAUACCAGAGUCAGCUCCUCUGAAAUGCAUUAGCUUGAGUGUAUCAAGUUUGAUUCAAUGUGAUAAUUAUCUACGUUGCUUCAACUUGUUGUUCUAGCUUCUAAUCGUCCUUAGGGACACACUUUUGACAAUCUGACCUCAAAUCAAGUAGGACUACCCGCUGAACUUAA